rnacentral:rRNA from 1 species
AUGGAAACCACAAGGCUAUCCUUGCUCUCUCUUCUUCCGUUCCUUCUCCUCGCGAUCGCUGCCGAGGCAACCGGCGGCGAGCUCAGCACGUUCAUCGUCCACGUGCAAGCAGAGGAAAACCACGUGUUUGGCACCGCGGACGACCGGAAGGCGUGGUACCACUCGUUCCUCCCGGAACAUGGCCGGCUCGUGCACGCGUACCAUCACGUCGCCAGCGGGUUCGCGGCCCGGCUGACGCGGCAGGAGCUGGAGGCGGUGUCCGCCAUGCCCGGGUUCCUCAGCGCGACCCGCGCCCGGACGUACACCACGCUCACGACGCACACGCCCGAGUUCCUGGGGCUGAACCUGGAGGAGCAGGGGCGGCGGAACUACACGUCGGAGUUCGGCGCCGGGGUCAUCGUCGCCGUGAUCGACACCGGCAUCUUCCCGGACCACCCGUCCUUCAGCGACGACGGCAUGCCGCCGCCGCCGGCCAAGUGGAAGGGGCGCUGCGACUUCAGCGGCACCUCGUGCAACAAUAAGCUCAUCGGCGCGCGCAACAUGGUCGCCGCCCUCAACGGCCCGAACGGCACUUCCGCGCGGGUCCCGCCGGUCGAUGAGUUUGGGCACGGGACUCACACGGCAAGCACCGCCGCUGGGGCGGUCGUGCCGGGCGCUAAUGUGCUCGGCCACGCAUGGGGCACCGCCGCCGGGAUGGCGGUCCGCGCGCACAUCGCCAUAUACAAGGUGUGCUACGGAAAAGUUGUAGUAGACUGCGAGGAUGCCGACAUACUGGCUGGCAUUGACGCCGCCGUGGGCGACUGCUGUGACGUCAUCUCCAUGUCUCUCGGCGGGCCGUCGGUGCCCUUUCACCUAAACCCUAUGGCCAUCGGGACGUUCGGUGCCAUGGAGAAGGGCAUUUUUGUGAGCAUGGCUGCUGGCAACUCCGGCCCGGGAGAGAGCACCGUGAUAAACGAGGCUCCAUGGAUGCUCACCGUGGCCGCGAGUACCAUGGACCGCUCGAUUCGUUCGACCGUGCAGCUGGGGAACGGCGCGUAUUUCCACGGCGAGUCGCUAUACCAGCCAAACGUUGGCUUCUGCCCGUUGGUCUACGCGGGCGCGAGUGGGAAGCCAUUCGCCGAGUUCUGCGGAAACGGCAGUCUGGACGGCUUCGACGUCAAGGGCAAGAUAGUGCUGUGUGAACUCACGAAAAACAUCUCGGUGAUCAACCAAGGUGAGGUAGUGGAGAGUGCCGGCGGCGUCGCCAUGAUCUUGGCGAGCCCGUUUUUCCGAGGGUACGACAAGUUAGCCCAGGCGAACAUCCUCCCGGCGUCGAGCGUCGACUACCUCGUGGCCGCAGCCAUCAAAUCCUACCUCAACUCCACGGCGAACCCGGUUGCGCGUAUGGGCUUCAGGGGUACAUUACUCGGCACGUCACCUGCUCCGUCGAUCAUCUUCUUCUCGUCUCGCGGGCCUAGCCGUCAGGGCACUGGCGUUCUGAAGCCCGACAUCACGGGCCCCGGAAUGAACGUGCUCGCGGCAUGGCCUUUUCAGGUUGGCCCACCGUCGGCGCCGGUUCUCCCUGGGCCGACCUUCAACAUCAUCUCCGGCACGUCCAUGUCCACACCGCACCUUGCCGGCAUCGCCGCUUUAAUCAAGAGCAAGCACCCGGACUGGUCACCGGCGGCGAUAAAGUCGGCAAUGAUGACGACGGCCGACAUCACCGACCGCUCCGGCAAUCCCAUACUCAACGAGCAGCGCGUGGCGGCCAACCUCUUCGCCACCGGCGCCGGACACGUCAACCCAAUGAAGGCCGCUGACCCUGGCCUAGUCUACGACAUCACCCCCGAGGAUUACAUCGGCUACCUCUGUAGCAUGUACACGAGCCAGCAGGUCUCGGUGAUCACACGCCGGCCAAUCGACUGCUUGACCACCGUCGUGAUCAGCGACCGCCUGCUGAAUUACCCUUCGAUCUCGGUCGCUUUCCCAGCUUCCUGGAAUUCGACUGCGCCCGUCGUCGUCAGGCGCAAGGUGAAAAACGUCGGGGAGGUGCCUUCGGUGUACUACGCGGCGAUCGACAUGCCGAGCAGCACCGUAAGCGUGGACGUAUUUCCGAGGGACCUGGAAUUCAUCAAGCCAAACCAGGAACUGACUUUCUCGGUAUACGUGUGGCCGAGGCAGAGUGCUGCGAGGGUGCUACAGGGUGCGCUGCGGUGGGUGUCCGAAAAGCACACUGUACGGAGCCCAAUCUCCAUCACCUUUGCCUGA